AACACAUCUGAGUGACUGUGAUCCUUCAGCUGCUCCUGAGCUCUAAACAGCAGAGAGGACCAGAUAGUCACCGACCCGUUCACGUCUGUAGUACACCAUGUUUCCUUCAUGUCUGCUGCUUUUGGGGGCUCUAUAUGGUAUUCAGGCUGAUGAACUUACACAGCCAGCUUCAGUGGUAAUCCAGCCAGGACAACAGUUGACCAUCGACUGCAAAGUCUCUUAUUCUCUGGCUAGCUAUGCCACAGCAUGGGUUCGACAGCCAGCAGGAAAACCAUUGGAGUGGAUCAAUAUAAUAUGGACUGGUGGAAGCACAGACCAUAAAGACUCUUUGAAAAACAAGUUCAUUGUCUCCAGAGACACCUCCAGUAACACAGUCACCCUACAAGGCCAGAAUCUGCAGUCUGAAGACACAGCUGUGUACUACUGCGCUCGUUACCCACGGCAUUACAAUAAGCUACAAUGCUGUACCAAAACCUCCCACACAUAACACACCAGACAUAGAAAUCUGAAAAUAUUAAUAU